CCCGGCCUGUACACGCGGGUCGCGGCUUCCCGCCGCUGGGUGCAGUGGGACAGCUGCGGCCCAGCUCCCGGCCCCACGGGCGGGGGCCCCGGCGCGACACCUGGAGGGGCAGGGGGCCCGGCCGCUCACCGGCCACCGUGUGUCCCCGUGCUGUCAGGCAGGGCUGCUCUCAGGGGUCCUUGGCACCGGACCGAGGCCACUGCUCAGCUUGGAAUCCCGCUGUCCGUGGCAUUAGGUCUAUAUACACGCAGAAUUUUUUUAUUUAUCAGCAAGAAUAUUAGCAGGCGCCUUGCACGUGCAAGCCCCGCAGGCAGGUGCGUAGAGAAGCAAGACGCUUUUCUCAGGACGCCGCGGAGACUGCCGCGUGACACCUGCCUGCGCGUCGGGGUGUCCCUGUGGGCUCCAGAGAGCCGCCCAGGAAGCUUCCAGGCACGCGAUGCGCGGGACACACCCUGGGGGACACCCACCAAGUGAGCAAAGGCCCCAAAAGGCCCUGCCGGCACGUGGCCCAGUUCCGUCGGGGUCUCCGGCCACGCGCAGCUCCUCGUGCAGGGCACAGCCCCCGCCCCCCACCCCGGCCACAGCCCGCCUGAAGUCCUGGAGGAGGAGCGGGUGGAACAGCCCGUAAGGUAACCCGGGGGCUGCCUGCGCCCCUGCCCGUUGCAGCGGAGCCAUCCCGGGAACAGGCACUCGGAUGGCCUUCACUCGCCACGUCCACGAGGGCCCAAGCUCAGCCGAGCGAGACCAAGAAAGCACAGCCACCAAGUUCUCUAAUAUCAAAAUAGAGCGAUUUAUUCAAGACACUGAGUAUGAUCUGUUGAUUCUCUCUUGAAACAAAUGAGCUACGACACACAAGGUGAUUCUUUUUCUCAGAGAGCGUGAGGGUGAGUGGGGGUGGAAGAGAACAGAACGGGGGUCGAUGUGCACGGAACAGAAUCUAGAAAAUGCAGACAGAGGACGUCUGGCUGUACGUCUGACACAGACAAUAAAAACUGCAGAAGCCAGAAUUCAAAACUUCAGUGAGUGGCGGAAGGAACAUUUCUGCAUUUGACAAGAAACACGAUUUAAAAAAAAAAAAAAAAGUGGAACAGAAGGUUAAAAAUAACAAGGAACAACGCAGACCCUUACAUUUGACAAAGUGCACUUCACUUGGCUCCGUGAUCUAGUUUUAGAAAGACAAAACGAACGUCAAGUCCUAGGUGUCGUGUGGGGUCAGAGGGUUGAACCCUGAAACGUCUGGCCUUUCGGUCUCCCAGGGGGCGGCAUCCCUUGGCCAAGUGUGUGUGCGGGACAUGCUCUUGGUCACUCGAAACCCGAUGGAAGAUUCCGGGAAGGCUGGUUGUGUUACUCUGCUUCCGGAAUCAAGGUGAAGUUUGGUCGCUAAGACUUCGGCUUCUACCCACAAUCCUGAAGCGCUGUCAACCACGGCGAGCACGGACUUCGCACGUGGGCCAUCCCUCGAGGAGAGGGGCGUCUGUCAGCUGGCGGGCAGCAGGGCCAAGGCCGGAGGCGCCACACCUCGCUGCCAUCGGGCCGAGGAUGGGGAUGGAUCCCCGGGGCGCUGCCCACACGCUCACGGCGGGUCCCUCCUCGCCGAUGGCUGUGCAGGGCUCAAGCCCUCAGCCCUCAGCCCUCAGCCCCCGCCUGGCCAUUCCCAAGUGAUUCAGACUUGUCUAGAGGCUAAAGCCUGCGAGACCCUGACUCCUGACCUGCACGUGAAGAUCAUCCAGUGAGCCCCCCUUAGAGGAUGUCCUGCCACGGCCACCCAACGGUGUUCGGCUGGUCAAACAUGAGUCAUGUCCUGACCAUGGCCACCCCUCAACUUCUGCUCUGUAGCGAUGACAUUUUUACUUUGGGGUCAAAGGGAUCAAGGCGGGGUCAGUCUGGACCCCCAAUAAACUGCAUCCCAAACCUACUGAUUUCUUGGGGCAGGCAGUGAGUGAAUUAUCAUCUGCUGCCUUCCAAAGAUGGGAAUGGGGACGCCGUGGAGCUCUGACCUCUGGGCCAAACGUCGAGGCGACAGAGCCUGAACAAAAUACCCAAUGUCGUACACAGAGCACGUUUUGGUCUUCCCCAUAUCCGAGCGGGCAGGAAUGACUCAAGAUAUCCAAGUGGAGGCCAACUGGUCUGAGAGGGAUGAACGCACUCUGGUUCUUGUACCUGGUGGCGGCCUAGUCCGAGUUCUUGGGAAGCCCUUGCCCUGCCUGCCAGUUGGGUUUUGGCUGCAUGGAUAGAUGCCACCCUCUCGAUCACCUCCGGUCUCGUCGCUGGCACACACACCCGGCUGAAGCCUGCCCACCGCCAGACCCCGCCCCCGGGCCAGGCCAACGUCAUCCUCCCGUCCUCGGCCGCUGGAAAACAGAGGAGGCAAGAGGACUUACCUAGCCGUCCUUCCCCACUGCUGAUUAACACAACAGGUCAGUGUCGGGUUAUGACAACCAGAGUACAAAGGUCACCUGGUCCAAUGAACGGAAACUCCUCUAGCGACACAAAGCCAUGUUUAAUUUUUUAAAAACAGUAAAAAGAUUCAUUAUUUAAAAAAAAAAAAAGACUCUUUCUCCUAGUCUCCUGUGAGAGAAAGAAAUUAUGAAGACAGCAGAAAUUAUUAGUGACGUCUACCUAGGAAAUUCACCCUCGGGAUUGAAAAUCUUGCUUCCCCAUUCCUUCUUGUCCCUGUCAGACCAGGUGGGAUCCUGGAGGCUUUCACGUCAGCUUUGCAAGGACCGGCCACCCUGCUCUGGGUGAGUGACCAGCGGUUAUUUAUGGCGCCGUGACCGGGAUGUCGCGGGGACAUCGAGCCCAGAGGGCGGCUGUGAUGGCUUCUUCAAUACCGUUUGGUCUGGGGAACGCUCCUGGGGGUCAGAGGGCACUGUUCUUCGCUGCUCUCCCGCGGCUACGAGGGUGAACGCAACCCUGACCGACGCAGUGCUCUUCUUCGAACCACAGAGCGCUGGGAUUUUGCUCUCUGGCUGCGGAACAUGCCCGCGACCGAGCCACAGGACCAGCCUUUCCACCCAGAGUUCCAACCAUUUUCAUGAAGCUGAAGGGAAAUGCUACCUCAGACCCUGCCUGUGUCUUCCUAAAAUUUGUUUAAAAUAUGAAUCACACAAA